rnacentral:rRNA from 1 species
CAGUCGCCGCGGUAAUACGAAGGGGGCUAGCGUUGCUCGGAAUGACUGGGCGUAAAGGGCGCGUAGGCGGAUUGUUUAGUUAGGCGUGAAAUUCCUGAGCUUAACCUGGGGACUGCGCUUAAUACAGGCAGUCUAGAGUGAGGAAGAGGGUUGUGGAAUUCCCAGUGUAGAGGUGAAAUUCGUAGAUAUUGGGAAGAACACCGGUGGCGAAGGCGGCAACCUGGUCCUUGACUGACGCUGAGGCGCGAAAGCGUGGGGAGCAAACAGGAUUAGAUACCCCUGUAGUCCCUGUCUCUUAUAC